rnacentral:snRNA from 1 species
GGAUGUGAGGGCGAUCUGGCUGAGACAUUUGUCACCCCAUUGAUCGCCAGGGUUGAUUCGGCUAAUCUGGCUGGCUAGGUGGGUGUCCCCUUCUCCCUCACAGCUCCAUGUUCGUCCCUCCCGAAGCUGCACGCUGGGUCGAAGAGGACGGUCCCCGAAUAGAGACAGACCGAUCUCUAGUCGAGGGUACACGAGUAGCUGCACUCCCCUGCUAGAACCUCCAAACAAGCUCUCAAGGUUCAUUCUUGUCCUAGAAAAGAUCCAAAUUUUCUAUAGCUCUUGCUUUUCUCGUGGAUCAAUUAUGCA